GAAUCUGCUUUCAAGGCCAUAUAAAUAUCAACUGAAAACCCCAGUUCUUCUCUUAACUAAAUAAUUAUGGGGUCAAAAGAGCCAGAGUACCAGUCCUUGCUUCCCACACUUGAUUCACAUUCAAGAAUUCCAGACUUGUCAUCUCAGGCAAUUGAGGAGUUCUUGGAACAAAGGACAGUGCCAAUUAGAUGGUGGCCUCGUCUUAUUGCAUGGGAAUCAAGGCUCUUAUGGUUAUUGUCUUGGGCUUCUAUAAUUGUUUCCAUAUUCAAUUUCAUGCUUAGCUUUGUCACCCAAAUGUUCUCUGGACAUUUGGGUGCUGUAGAGCUUGCUGGUGCUUCCAUUGCCAAUGUUGGAAUUCAGGGUCUCGCUUAUGGGAUUAUGCUGGGCAUGGCUAGUGCUGUGCAAACAGUGUGCGGCCAAGCCUAUGGAGCUAAGCAGUACUCAGCAAUGGGCAUCAUAUGCCAGAGAGCAAUUGUGCUGCACUUGGGAGCAGCUGUGCUCCUCACAUUCCUCUACUGGUUCUCAGGCUCAGUCCUCGCAGCUAUGGGGCAAUCAGAGGCCAUCGCCGAGCAAGGACAAAUUUUUGCCCGAGGUUUGAUCCCUCAGAUAUAUGCAUUUGCCAUAAGCUGCCCUAUGCAGAGGUUUCUUCAAGCUCAGAACAUUGUGAACCCUCUUGCAUACAUGUCUGUUGGGGUGUUCUUUGUUCACAUCCUUCUCUCGUGGCUUGUUAUUUAUAAAUUGGACUACGGGCUUCUAGGAGCAGCCUUAACACUGAGUUUGUCUUGGUGGCUUCUUGUCAUCUUGAAUGGUCUUUACAUUGUUCUUAGUCCAAAUUGCAAGGAAACUUGGACGGGCUUAUCAAUAAGUGCUUUCAAAGGAAUUUGGCCUUAUUUCAAGCUCACAGCUGCUUCUGCUAUCAUGCUUUGCUUGGAGAUAUGGUACAGUCAAGGAAUGGUACUGAUAUCAGGUCUCCUCCCAAACCCAACUAUCUCACUAGACGCCAUUUCCGUUUGCAUGAAUUACUUGAACUGGGACAUGCAAUUUAUGCUGGGCCUAGCAGCAGCCACCAGUGUUCGAGUGAGCAAUGAACUAGGGGCUGGCCAUCCAAAGGUUGCAAAAUUUUCAGUGUUUGUAGUGAAUGGGACUAGCAUUAUUAUCAGUAUAAUUUUUAGUGCUAUUGUGCUGAGUUUUCGAGUUGGAUUGAGCAAACUCUUUUCAAAUGACUCUGAGGUUAUAGAAGCAAUUUCCGAUCUUACUCCUCUGCUUGCCAUCUCUGUUUUCCUCAAUGGUGUUCAACCUAUACUCUCAGGUAACAAUCAUUUCUGUACACAUUAAGUAUAUGAUGGUAAGCAGUCCAAUCUCGAUUAUUUUUUUUCUUUUGACAUAUUAGAAUUUUUUUUUUUUUUUAUUCAUGAGAUGGAUUUGUGCAAUGUUGCUAUACAUUAGGAUCAUAAUUAUGUUCUUUUCGUGUGGCAGGUGUGGCUAUUGGCAGUGGAUGGCAAGCUGUGGUAGCUUAUGUUAACCUUGUCACUUACUAUAUUAUUGGUCUCCCCAUUGGCUGUGUGCUUGGGUUCAAAACCAGUUUAGGAGUAGCAGGAAUUUGGUGGGGGAUCAUUAUUGGAGUUGUUUUCCAGACAAUAACUUUAAUUAUUCUGACUUCAAGAACAAAUUGGAAUGCUGAGGUUGAAAAAACUGCUAGACGGUUGAAUGAGUCUGCAAGAGAGGCCUUGGAAUCAUUGCCCAAUCCUUAACUCACCCCAUGGGCUUCUCUUUACCAUUUUCUUUCUUUUCUCUGAUGGAUAAAAGUUGUUCUUUCAAUGUACUGAAGAUUGGAAUGAAAGAAUCCAACCUUUCAUCCUCAUCAGCCAGGAAUUUGAAAUUUGUAUCCAAGGGGGCUGGUGGUGCAUCUGACUGUUCAGAUUUGAAGUUCAAGGCAUGUAAGAGUUGUGAUGGAGUUUUUUUUUUCUCUAAGAUAAAAGAUCUUUCCCUUCUAUGCAGUACAAAACUUUUAAUGGAUUUCCUAAUUUAAAAU
rnacentral:misc_RNA from 1 species